CUGGCGACAUUUGAGAAGGUGCUGCGGAGAAAGACGACGUCCUUGAGGAGAAAGUCGACGUCCUUGAGGAGAAAGACGUGUGCGCAUUUAGAAGUUAAGUCUAGUGCCAGGAGACGGUAGACAUGCUACCCAAGAAGGCUACUGGCAGAACUGCAGAGUGCCCAAGAGAGGAUACGGAUUCGGCAUCUGGUGAUGAUUUUCAGUGCAGUGCUCCACAAAUGCCAGAUUAUAGAACAGACCGUGAUGACAGUGAUGAUGCCAGUAUUUCAUCAUCAUCAGAAGAUGAACAGCUGAGAACAGAGAUUGGGAAGAUGUUUGAAAAACUUCAAG